UACGUAGGGUGCGAGCGUUAAUCGGAAUUACUGGGCGUAAAGCGUGCGCAGGCGGUUCGCCGUGUCCGAUGUGAAAGCCCCGGGCUUAACCUGGGAAUGGCAUUGGAAACUGGCGGGCUGGAGUGUGGCAGAGGGGGGUGGAAUUCCACGUGUAGCAGUGAAAUGCGUAGAGAUGUGGAGGAACACCGAUGGCGAAGGCAGCCCCCUGGGCCAACACCGACGCUCAGGCACGAAAGCGUGGGGAGCAAACAGG
rnacentral:rRNA from 1 species